AACACACCGUGAGGGGGAAGGGAAGCUGCUGUGUUGAAGGUGCUUCUGGAAUAGUAUUUUCAUCUCGUCCACUCUUUUUUUUGAGACAGAGUCUCGCUCUGUCGCCCAGGCUAGAGUGCAGUCGGGCGAUCUCGGCUCACUGCGAGUUCCACCUCCCGGGUUCACGCCAUUCUCCUGCCUCAGCCUCCCAAGUAGCUGGAACUACAGGUGCCCACUACCACGCCCAGGUGGAGUCUUGCUUUGUCGCCCAGGCUGGAGUGCAGUGGUGCCAUCUUGGCUCACUGCAACCUCCACCUCCCGGGUUCAAGUAAUUCUUGUGCCUCAGCCUCCCGAGUAGCUGGGACUACAGGCAUGCACCACCACACCCAGGCUCUAGGAAGUAUCUUAGCCCCCAGCCCU
rnacentral:sRNA from 1 species